rnacentral:rRNA from 1 species
GAUGAACGCUAGCUACAGGCUUAACACAUGCAAGUCGAGGGGUAACGAGAGGGAAGCUUGCUUUCCUUGUCGACGACCGGCGCACGGGAGAGUAACGCGUAUCCAACCUGCCCCCAACUAGGGAAUAACCUUGCGAAAGUAAGACUAAUACCCUAUAUUUUCCUCAGAUAUCAUCGGACGAGGGAUAAAGAUUUAUCGUUAUGGGAUGGGGAUGCCUCUGAUUAGCUUGUUGGCGGGGUAACGGCCCACCAAGGCAACGAUCAGUAGGGGUUCUGAGAGGAAGGUCCCCCACAUUGGAACUGAGACACGGUCCAAACUCCUACGGGAGGCAGCAGUGAGGAAUAGUGGUCAAUGGGCGGAAGCCUGAACCAGCCAAGUAGCGUGAAGGAUGACGGCGCUAUGGGUUGUAAACUGCUUUUAUACAGGAAUAAAGUUAGCCACAUGUGGUUAUUUGUAGGUACUGUAUGAAUAAGGACCGGCUAAUUCCGUGCCAGCCGCCGCCGUAA